rnacentral:rRNA from 1 species
UUAAAUUGAAGAGUUUGAUCAUGGCUCAGAUUGAACGCUGGCGGCAGGCCUAACACAUGCAAGUCGAGCGGAAACGAGUUAUCUGAACCUUCGGGGAACGAUAACGGCGUCGAGCGGCGGACGGGUGAGUAAUGCCUAGGAAAUUGCCC